AUCGUACCCCAAACCGACACAGGUGGUCAGGUAGAGAAUACCAAGGCGCUUGAGAGAACUCGGGUGAAGGAACUAGGCAAAAUGGUGCCGUAACUUCGGGAGAAGGCACGCUGAUACGUAGGUGAAGUCCCUUGCGGAUGGAGCUGAAAUCAGUCGAAGAUACCAGCUGGCUGCAACUGUUUAUUAAAAACACAGCACUGUGCAAACACGAAAGUGGACGUAUACGGUGUGACGCCUGCCCGGU
rnacentral:rRNA from 1 species